rnacentral:lncRNA from 1 species
AGUCUGAGUUACAUAACCUCUAUGAAUGACUUUUCCUUAAGAUUAUGUGUAGUGUAAUAAGGACUCCAGUGUACUGCUAGGCAUUAUAAAGUAUACUGAUGUGCUCUAGAAACCCCGAGGCUGAAAAUGAUGUUACCAGUGGGAUGACCUUCAUCAUAACUGGGCUGGAAAAUAAUUAAGAUUAUGUCAAACAUGAGCAUACCAUUUAUGUUUUCUAAAAACAAAGCAAAACAAAAACUAAAACCAAAACAAAAAAAAAAAAACUUUAACCAUUGCAGUUAGGAUAUUCAGCUUUGAUUUGAAUUAUUUCAACUCACUGAAUAUAAAGACAAGAUAAUUAAGCCAGAGAUAGGUGAAAUAACCUAUCAGAGGAUUUAAGGCUCAUUUAUAGAUCUAGACUUUGAAUCAUGUUGUCUGAAAAGAGAAAGUUGAAGUUGAAACCCUUUGCCCUAAGGACUGUGCCAUGUGUACUCAGCUUUCCUAAUGCAUUUGUACAAUGGAUCUUAAAGAUGCUAGGUUUACAAAUGAGGUUGAUGUUCACUCAAUUUGUAACUAUUGACAUACUGGUGUUAAGCAUGUAUCAGUAUUUAUUUUACAAGUUAUAAAUCUUCUAUUCAAGAUAUUAGAAUUUUUGAAUUCACUGAAAUGUUUAGCCUGUAUUUAAUAUUUUUGUUAUAAUAGAAUUUUCUUGUGCAUAAACAAAUGUAGAUCUAUGCACAAUGACAUCCAUAAGAUAUAUGCCAAGAGGGAAAAGCAAGAAUAUAUGACACACAGGAGAAGGACAUCCUGUAUUCUUCUCUCUUUCAUGAGAAUGCCAAGCUGAAUCAUUUAAGAGUCCAUACAUUGUGGUGAUAGGCUCUAGGAUGGAGAAAUGAUAUAGGCUUUCUGUGCUUGAGUUUCUCAGGUUGUGUCCUUUCAUAAUUAUGGAGACUAGAAAUAAUUACUAUGUCAACAUUUAAUAGUAGAAAAAAAUUUAAACUAAAGGUAUAUAGGUCAAUGUUAUAGAGAUCAGAUUCUAGAGC